CCGCCAGAGAACUACAAGUGAAAAACUUGAAACUCAAAGGACUUGACGGUAUCCCAUAUCGACCUAGAGGAGCCUGUCCUAUAAUCGAUACCCCUCGCUUCACCCCACCCUAACUAGCACACAUUAUCAGCCUAUAUACCGCCGUCGAUCAGCCUACCCUAUGAAGGUCUAAUAGUAGACACAAUAGCCCAACCGCUAAUACGUCAGGUCAAGGUGUAGCAAAUGUUAGGGAAGAGAUUGGCUACAUUUUUUAUGAUAAAAAACACGAAAAGUAUUAUGAAACAAUACAUGAAGGUGAAUUUAGUAGUAAAAU
rnacentral:rRNA from 1 species